AUGCAUAUAAUGUUCAUGCACUGUAAUAGGGGGAGGAGAAAAGGGUUGUGCUUGGUUGUCGCAAACAAUAGCAGGCUUGCAAGGUCUUUCUUCAGCUGUCAAAACUUGUUUUCUCAUGAAUGCAGAAAGCGUUCAGCCUCCGUAGGAAUGUGUGCUGUCUUAAUGGUGAUUUUGCCACCUUUCGCCACAUUCCCAUUUUGGCAUCUUGUUUCAUUGCCCUUUUUUGUCUCAUAUUUCUUUAUGCCUCCUUGGGUUGAGUUGUUCUCUCGCCAUCCUAGAAACCACUGGAAUCUAUGGUGCCACUGUCUUAAAACCUCUGUCUUGCAUGAUGGAAGACUUACCAAGCUCUUCUGUAGUUGAUUAAUGUACCUCCAGAUGCCCUUCUGGUUCCUGCUGGAAGAUGGAAGAGAAGGAAGAAAGGUGAAGAAGAAUGGUUGAUUGCUUCUUUUUAGUGUUUUCUCAAAACCAUUUCCCUCCCCCCGUCAUUAUUUGCAGUGGGAGGGAAAUUAUUUAUACCAACUCUAGUGUAGAGCUAAUUCUCUUAGAGAGAAACUCUAAGCCCAAAAUAAAAAACACUUGUAGAUUUUACA
rnacentral:lncRNA from 1 species